UAGGGAAUCUUCGGCAAUGGACGGAAGUCUGACCGAGCAACGCCGCGUGAGUGAAGAAGGUUUUCGGAUCGUAAAGCUCUGUUGUUAGAGAAGAACGUUGGCAGGAGUGGAAAAUCUACCAAGUGACGGUAACUAACCAGAAAGGGACGGCUAACUACGUGCCAGCAGCCGCGGUAAUACGUAGGUCCCGAGCGUUGUCCGGAUUUAUUGGGCGUAAAGCGAGCGCAGGCGGUUCUUUAAGUCUGAAGUUAAAGGCAGUGGCUUAACCAUUGUACGCUUUGGAAACUGGAGGACUUGAGUGCAGAAGGGGAGAGUGGAAUUCCAUGUGUAGCGGUGAAAUGCGUAGAUAUAUGGAGGAACACCGAUGGCGAAAGCGGCUCUCUGGUCUGUAACUGACGAUAAGGCUCGAAAGCGUGGGGAGCAAACAGG
rnacentral:rRNA from 1 species